AAAGCGAGUAUCUUUGCUCUCUCUCUCUCUCUCUCUUCCACAUUUUUGAAUGUUCUUUCUGGGAUGGUUUGAUUCUCUCAUCUCAGAAAGCGCGCAACUUGGUGCGGUGCGACGGCGUCGUUUAUCCUUUUUGGAUUUACAGAUGUGCGAUUAGUACGGGAGAUUCGGAUUGUACGUUACCGUCAUACUGUAUGCAUUUGACAAGAAUAGUGGCCCAGGAGAUCAAUUCUUCAAUGUUACUCUCUCUUGCAACAUCGAGGAGCCCAUGAAGAACUUUGGGAUAGCUGAUCUCAGCCAUGUGCACAUUAUUUGUGGCAUGGUCAAAUGAAGAUACUAAAACUCCAAUAAUCAUUAGUGAUGCUGUCAGCGGUGUUGGCAGUGAUGCUGGCCUACCCUUAUAACUUUUUGGAGAGCACACGACCCCCAACAAUGCAGGUGAAGUUCAAUAGAGCUUUCCUGGCUAUGAGAACUAUGUUUUUUCCUUGCAACAGUUCUUUGGCGAUCCCUUUGGUUGAUCCUAUAGUUCCGCUGAGAUGCACACUCCUUUUGUAGAUAUGAAUUCUGAAGGGUCUUU